rnacentral:lncRNA from 1 species
AACUAACGCCAAAUCUGCGCACAUACAAAGUCCUCCCUCUGUGACUCUUUCAAAGUAGUACUACUAGUAAAUGAUUACAGUAAGAUAAUUAAAAAUUCAGAGCCUACCUCUCAAGAAAACAUUGACUCAAUUAAAAAAUUACUGUACUGUAGUACUAGUAGCUAGUUAGGGAUUGCAUUACAAAUUUGGGUACCUCGUGAAAAUCUUGAAAGCUAAGAUUGUUUAGUGUGAUUGAUUUUGUGCCCUUAUCUACCAUAAAAAUAAAACCAUAUCAGNNN